CUACGGGUUGCUGCAGUGAGGAAUAUUGCACAAUGGGGGGAACCCUGAUGCAGCAACGCCGCGUGGAGGAUGACGCAUUUCGGUGUGUAAACUCCUUUUAUAUGUCAAGAAAAUGACGGUAGCAUAUGAAUAAGCACCGGCUAACUCCGUGCCAGCAGCCGCGGUAAUACGGAGGGUGCAAGCGUUACUCGGAAUCACUGGGAGUAAAGUACGCGUAGGCGGGUUGGAAAGUCAGGUGUGAAAUCCUACAGCUUAACUGUAGAACUGCACUUGAAACUUCUAAUCUAGAGUAUGGGAGGGGUAGAUGGAAUUAGUGGUGUAGGGGUAAUAUCCGUAGAUAUCACUAGGAAUACCUAAAGCGAAGGCGAUCUCCUGGAACAUUACUGACGCUAAGGCGUGAAAGCGUGGGGAGCAAACAGGAUUAGAUACCCGCGUAGUC
rnacentral:rRNA from 1 species